GUCCUCUUGAAUUUUAAUAAUUUGAGGUCUGACCUGCCCACUGAAGAUUUUAAAGGGCCGCGGUAUUUUGACCGUGCAAAGGUAGCAUAAUCAUUAGUCUUUUAAUUGAAGGCUGGAAUGAAUGGUUGGACGAGGCAUUGACUGUCUCAUUGUAAAUGGAAUUAGAAUUUAACUUUUGAGUGAAAAGGCUUAAAUGGAUUUGAAGGACGAGAAGACCCUAUAGAUCUUUAUGCUAAUGAUUUUGUAAUGAAUUUAGUAGUUUUAAUUUGUUUUAUAGUUUUUAGUAUUUUAUUGGGGUGAUAGGAAGAUAAAAAAAACUCUUUUUAUAAUAUGAACAUUGAUUUUUGAAUUUUUGAU
rnacentral:rRNA from 1 species